UGGGGAGAACGUACAAACUCCAUACAGACAGCACCCGUAAUUGAAUGAAUGAAUACGUUUAUUGGCCAAGUAUUCACAUACAAGGAAUUUGCCUUGGUGCUCCGCCCGCAUGUGACAACAUGACGUACAGUAACAGUUAGGCAUGACAUAUAAAACAUU